CCUACGGGAGGCAGCAGUGGGGAAUAUUGCACAAUGGGGGAAACCCUGAUGCAGCGACGCCGCGUGAGUGAAGAAGUAUUUCGGUAUGUAAAGCUCUAUCAGCAGGGAAGAAGAAAGACGGUACCUGACUACGAAGCCCCGGCUAACUACGUGACAGCAGCCGCGGUAAUACGUAGGGGGCAAGCGUUAUCCGGAUUUACUGGGUGGAAAGGGAGCGUAGACGGCUGUGCAAGUCGGAAGUGAAAGCCCAGGGCUCAACCCUGGGACUGCUUUGGAAACUGUGGGGCUAGAGUGCUGGAGAGGUAAGUGGAAUGCCUAGUGUAGCAGUGAAAUGCGUAGAUAUUAGGAGGAACACCAGUGGCGAAGGCGGCUUACUGGACAGUAACUGACGUUGAGGCUCGAAAGCGUGGGGAGCAAACAGGAUUAGAUACCCUAGUAGUC
rnacentral:rRNA from 1 species